rnacentral:lncRNA from 1 species
CAGGUCCAUGAGACUCAGUGCAGUCUCGUAGGUAGAUCAGCAAAAGGGGGGAGCACUUAGGUUUUCAUGUUGUUUCCAAGUGAAGUGUGUCUUCGUACUCCCUUUGCAGAAGAGAAGGGAGGAUGUGGGUCAGGAUGAGUGGUGUGCGUGGCGUGCUUUGCCUUGCAAAGGUGUCUUUGCCAGCCACUCCAGCUGUGAGGUGUUUCGAGUGCCUUCUGCAGAGCCAGCAGGCAGGGUUCAGUUGAGUGUAAAGCUGGGUCGAGCUCCGGGAGAGCUUUCCUCUGGGCAGCUCCACACGUGGCUAGUUUUGUCACAAUUGCGGUGCCACUGCAGGCACCCAGGGACUGUUGCAAAGAUGCUCCUGAGUGGAAGGGAGAGAACAGUGUCAUGAAGGAGUCCCCUGUUUUGAUUGCCUCGUCUGUCAUUCUGGCCGCAAGAAUGUUUAAUGAGAGUUGCUGUGUGCUGUGUUUGCAGGUGUGACUGGAGGUGUAGGUGAUCCAGCUUCCCCUCUGCGAUCCAGGAUGCGUGGGAGUCCGUCAUCUCGCAUGGAAGUGUGGCCAGGGAAGGCGUUGCCAAGUCCUCAGCUCUUUCCUGUGCUGGAGCCCCGCUGGAAUCCCAGGGGUCCGGAAAGAGGAAAGGAUACAUCUAGAAGAGGGAAAUACUCCCCGAGGUCAUCUCC